rnacentral:rRNA from 1 species
UACGUAGGGUGCGAGCGUUGUCCGGAAUUACUGGGCGUAAAGAGCUCGUAGGUGGUUUGUCGCGUUGUUCGUGAAAACUCACAACUCAAUUGUGGGCGUGCGGGCGAUACGGGCAGACUGGAGUACUGCAGGGGAGACUGGAAUUCCAGGUGUAGCGGUGAAAUGCGUAGAUAUCUGGAGGAACACCGGUGGCGAAGGCGGCAUCCUGGACCAACACUGACGCUGAGGAGCGAAAGCCAGGGGAGCAAACGGG